AACGCGAAGAACCUUACCUACCCUUGACAUGCCAGGAAGCUUGCAGAAAUGUGAGCGUGCCUUCGGGAGCCUGGACACAGGUGCUGCAUGGCUGUCGUCAGCUCGUGUCGUGAGAUGUUGGGUUAAGUCCCGUAACGAGCGCAACCCUUGUCCUUAGUUACCAGCGCGUAAAGGCGGGAACUCUAAGGAGACUGCCGGUGACAAACCGGAGGAAGGUGGGGAUGACGUCAAGUCCUCAUGGCCCUUAUGGGUAGGGCUACACACGUGUUACAAUGGGUAGUACAGAGGGUUGCCAACCCGCAAGGGGGAGCUAAUCCCACAAAAACUACUCUCAGUCCGGAUUGAGGUCUGCAACUCGACCCCAUGAAGUUGGAAUCGCUAGUAAUCGUGGAUCAGAACGCCACGGUGAAUACGUUCCCGGGCCUUGUACACACCGGAGUA
rnacentral:rRNA from 1 species